GGGGCUGUAGCUCAGUUGGUAGAGCACCUGCUUUGCAAGCAGGGGGUCAGGAGUUCGAAUCUCCUCAGCUCCACCA
rnacentral:tRNA from 3 species